UGCCUCAGUAACGGCGAGCGAAGCGGCAAAAGCUCAAAUUUGAAAGCUAGCGUUUUUUAACGUUCGCGUUGUAAUUUGAAGAUGGCAACUUUGGGGACGGCCUUGGCAUAUGUUCCUUGGAACAGGACGUCAUAGAGGGUGAGAAUCCCGUACGUGGCCUUGUCACCGUCCCUUUGUAAAGUGCUUUCUAAGAGUCGAGUUGUUUGGGAAUGCAGCUCUAAGUGGGUGGUAAAUUCCAUCUAAGGCUAAAUAUAGGCGAGAGACCGAUAGCGAACAAGUACAGUGAUGGAAAGAUGAAAAGAACUUUGAAAAGAGAGUGAAAAAGUACGUGAAAUUGUUGAAAGGGAAGGGCUUGAGAUCAGACUUGGCUUGCGGUGAUCAACUGUCUCUUGGGACUGUGCACUCGCCACUUGCUAGGCCAGCAUCAGUUUUUGCGGUAGGAUAAUGGCAGCGGAAUGUGACUUUGCCUCGGUAAAGUGUUAUAACCGCCUGCUGAUGCUACCAGCGGAGACUGAGGACCGCGCCUUUUUGGGCUAGGAUGCUGGCGUAAUGAUCUUAAGCCACCCGUCUUGAAACACGGACCAAGGAGUCUAACGUCUAUGCGAGUGUUUGGGUGUAAAACUCUUGCGCGUAAUUAAAGUGAACGUAGAGGAGAUCCCCCUGGGAGCAUCCUCGACCGAUCCUGACGUAUUCAGAAGGAUUUGAGUAAGAGCAUAGCUGUUGGGACCCGAAAGAUGGUGAACUAUGCCUGAAUAGGGUGAAGCCAGAGGAAACUCUGGUGGAGGCUCGUAGCGAUUCUGACGUGCAAAUCGAUCGUCAAAUUUGGGUAUAGGGGCGAAAGAC
rnacentral:rRNA from 1 species